GAUGAAGAACGUAGCGAAAUGCGAUACUUGGUGUGAAUUGCAGAAUCCCGUGAACCAUCGAGUCUUUGAACGCAAGUUGCGCCCGAAGCCAUCAGGUUGAGGGCACGUCUGCCUGGGCGUCACAUAUCGUUGCCCAAUGCCUAUUGCAGUGCAAUAGGAAUUUCUAGGGCGAAUGAUGGCUUCCCGUGAGCGUUGUUGCCUCGCGGUUGGUUGAAAAUCGAGUCCUUGGUAGGGUGUGCCAUGGUAGAUGGUGGUCGAGUUAGAACGAUACCGAUCAUGUGCAUGCUCCCCAAAAUAUGGCCUCUAUGACCCACACGCGUCUUUUGACGCUCAUGACGAGACCUCAGGUCAGGCGGGGCUACCCGCUGAAUUUAAGCAUAUCAAUAAGCGGACGA
rnacentral:misc_RNA from 1 species